AAACCCUGUUGUGGACACUUCCGCAAGAGGUCCUUGAAUCACUCCCAAGUCUCAAACAAGGAUUCAAGAUCCAUCUGAACAAAUGAAGAUAUAUUAUUGUGAAGCUU